rnacentral:lncRNA from 1 species
GAAGAUUCUAAUGGAUGCUCUGAACAAUUAGAGGGCCUCUUCAGCUGCUUUUUCAGUUUGAAGUUAUGAUUGGAGGAGACCUCGAAAUUCAGCUGUGUGCAGUAUUUACAGGCAUUGUAUCAUCUCACAUCACCACAAGAAGAAGGGUAUCAACUGGUCAUGUUCUUCCCAACGUGUAUUCUGGUUUAGGGUAAAAUGGAUCCCAGUGGAGUCUGAGAGAAUGGAUCAGUUCAACCCCUCUAAGAGCUUGACCUCUAAGCAUAGAGGUGGAGCCGACUGCUUUCCCAUCCAUCAGUUCUCUUUCAACCUGAUGUGGAGAUGAUGACAAAAAGAAUGGACUUUAACAAGAAGUAUUUAACAUUCAAAGCCAGCCUCCUGACUUGACACUAUCCUCCUAGAUUUGGAGGCUUUUUGUUUUCAUAUCUUCAGUGACACCUAGGAAAGUGCUUAACAUGUAUGUAAUGCUUAAUAAAGAUUUGCU